rnacentral:rRNA from 1 species
GGUUAAGCGACUAAGCGUACACGGUGGAUGCCCUGGCAGUCAGAGGCGAUGAAGGACGUGCUAAUCUGCGAUAAGCGUCGGUAAGGUGAUAUGAACCGUUAUAACCGGCGAUUUCCGAAUGGGGAAACCCAGUGUGUUUCGACACACUAUCAUUAACUGAAUCCAUAGGUUAAUGAGGCGAACCGGGGGAACUGAAACAUCUAAGUACCCCGAGGAAAAGAAAUCAACCGAGAUUCCCCCAGUAGCGGCGAGCGAACGGGGAGGAGCCCAGAGCCUGAAUCAGUGUGUGUGUUAGUGGAAGCGUCUGGAAAGGCGCGCGAUACAGGGUGACAGCCCCGUACACAAAAAUGCACAUGCUGUGAGCUCGAUGAGUAGGGCGGGACACGUGGUAUCCUGUCUGAAUAUGGGGGGACCAUCCUCCAAGGCUAAAUACUCCUGACUGACCGAUAGUGAACCAGUACCGUGAGGGAAAGGCGAAAAGAACCCCGGCGAGGGGAGUGAAAAAGAACCUGAAACCGUGUACGUACAAGCAGUGGGAGCCUCUUUAUGGGGUGACUGCGUACCUUUUGUAUAAUGGGUCAGCGACUUAUAUUCUGUAGCAAGGUUAACCGAAUAGGGGAGCCGAAGGGAAACCGAGUCUUAACUGGGCGUUAAGUUGCAGGGUAUAGACCCGAAACCCGGUGAUCUAGCCAUGGGCAGGUUGAAGGUUGGGUAACACUAACUGGAGGACCGAACCGACUAAUGUUGAAAAAUUAGCGGAUGACUUGUGGCUGGGGGUGAAAGGCCAAUCAAACCGGGAGAUAGCUGGUUCUCCCCGAAAGCUAUUUAGGUAGCGCCUCGUGAAUUCAUCUCCGGGGGUAGAGCACUGUUUCGGCAAGGGGGUCAUCCCGACUUACCAACCCGAUGCAAACUGCGAAUACCGGAGAAUGUUAUCACGGGAGACACACGGCGGGUGCUAACGUCCGUCGUGAAGAGGGAAACAACCCAGACCGCCAGCUAAGGUCCCAAAGUCAUGGUUAAGUGGGAAACGAUGUGGGAAGGCCCAGACAGCCAGGAUGUUGGCUUAGAAGCAGCCAUCAUUUAAAGAAAGCGUAAUAGCUCACUGGUCGAGUCGGCCUGCGCGGAAGAUGUAACGGGGCUAAACCAUGCACCGAAGCUGCGGCAGCGACGCUUAUGCGUUGUUGGGUAGGGGAGCGUUCUGUAAGCCUGUGAAGGUGUACUGUGAGGUAUGCUGGAGGUAUCAGAAGUGCGAAUGCUGACAUAAGUAACGAUAAAGCGGGUGAAAAGCCCGCUCGCCGGAAGACCAAGGGUUCCUGUCCAACGUUAAUCGGGGCAGGGUGAGUCGACCCCUAAGGCGAGGCCGAAAGGCGUAGUCGAUGGGAAACAGGUUAAUAUUCCUGUACUUGGUGUUACUGCGAAGGGGGGACGGAGAAGGCUAUGUUGGCCGGGCGACGGUUGUCCCGGUUUAAGCGUGUAGGCUGGUUUUCCAGGCAAAUCCGGAAAACUAAGGCUGAGGCGUGAUGACGAGGCACUACGGUGCUGAAGCAACAAAUGCCCUGCUUCCAGGAAAAGCCUCUAAGCAUCAGGUAACAUCAAAUCGUACCCCAAACCGACACAGGUGGUCAGGUAGAGAAUACCAAGGCGCUUGAGAGAACUCGGGUGAAGGAACUAGGCAAAAUGGUGCCGUAACUUCGGGAGAAGGCACGCUGAUAUGUAGGUGAAGUCCCUCACGGAUGGAGCUGAAAUCAGUCGAAGAUACCAGCUGGCUGCAACUGUUUAUUAAAAACACAGCACUGUGCAAACACGAAAGUGGACGUAUACGGUGUGACGCCUGCCCGGUGCCGGAAGGUUAAUUGAUGGGGUUAGCGGUAACGCGAAGCUCUUGAUCGAAGCCCCGGUAAACGGCGGCCGUAACUAUAACGGUCCUAAGGUAGCGAAAUUCCUUGUCGGGUAAGUUCCGACCUGCACGAAUGGCGUAAUGAUGGCCAGGCUGUCUCCACCCGAGACUCAGUGAAAUUGAACUCGCUGUGAAGAUGCAGUGUACCCGCGGCAAGACGGAAAGACCCCGUGAACCUUUACUAUAGCUUGACACUGAACAUUGAGCCUUGAUGUGUAGGAUAGGUGGGAGGCUUUGAAGUGUGGACGCCAGUCUGCAUGGAGCCGACCUUGAAAUACCACCCUUUAAUGUUUGAUGUUCUAACGUUGGCCCCUGAUCGGGGUUGCGGACAGUGUCUGGUGGGUAGUUUGACUGGGGCGGUCUCCUCCUAAAGAGUAACGGAGGAGCACGAAGGUUGGCUAAUCCUGGUCGGACAUCAGGAGGUUAGUGCAAUGGCAUAAGCCAGCUUGACUGCGAGCGUGACGGCGCGAGCAGGUGCGAAAGCAGGUCAUAGUGAUCCGGUGGUUCUGAAUGGAAGGGCCAUCGCUCAACGGAUAAAAGGUACUCCGGGGAUAACAGGCUGAUACCGCCCAAGAGUUCAUAUCGACGGCGGUGUUUGGCACCUCGAUGUCGGCUCAUCACAUCCUGGGGCUGAAGUAGGUCCCAAGGGUAUGGCUGUUCGCCAUUUAAAGUGGUACGCGAGCUGGGUUUAGAACGUCGUGAGACAGUUCGGUCCCUAUCUGCCGUGGGCGCUGGAGAACUGAGGGGGGCUGCUCCUAGUACGAGAGGACCGGAGUGGACGCAUCACUGGUGUUCGGGUUGUCAUGCCAAUGGCACUGCCCGGUAGCUAAAUGCGGAAGAGAUAAGUGCUGAAAGCAUCUAAGCACGAAACUUGCCCCGAGAUGAGUUCUCCCUGACUCCUUGAGAGUCCUGAAGGAACGUUGAAGACGACGACGUUGAUAGGCCGGGUGUGUAAGCGCAGCGAUGCGUUGAGCUAACCGGUACUAAUGAACCGUGAGGCUUAACCUU